rnacentral:pre_miRNA from 1 species
UAAAUACUACCUCCGUCUGGAAAAACUUGUCCCAAGCUUAUUCCUCAAAUGAAUGUAUCUAGCACUAACUUGAUGCUAGAUACAUUCAUUUGAGAGACAAGCUUUUUCGGACGGAGGGAGUACGUA